rnacentral:rRNA from 1 species
AGCAGCCGCGGUAAUUCCAGCUCCAAUAGCGUAUAUUAAAGUUGUUGCAGUUAAAAAGCUCGUAGUUGAAUUUCGGGGUUAGUAGGUUGGUCAUGCCUCUGGUAUGUACUGGUCUCACUGAUUCCUCCUUCCUUAUGAACCGUAAUGCCAUUAAUUUGGUGUUGCGGGGAAUUUGGACUGUUACUUUGAAAAAAUUAGAGUGUUUAAAGCAGGCUAACGCUUGAAUACAUUAGCAUGGAAUAAUGAAAUAGGACGUUCGAUCUUAUUUUGUUGGUUUCUAGGAUUGACGUAAUGAUUAAUAGGGAUAGUUGGGGGCAUUAGUAUUCAAUUGUCAGAGGUGAAAUUCUUGGAUUUAUUGAAGACUAACUACUGCGAAAGCAUUUGCCAAGGAUGUUUUCAUUAAUCAAGAACGAAAGUUAGGGGAUCGAAGACGAUCAGAUACCGUCGUAGUCUUAACCAUAAACUAUGCCGACUAGGGAUCGGAUGAUGUUAAUUUUUUAAUGACUCAUUC